AUCACCCCCGGCGAAGCUGACGGAGCAUACCGCGUGAGGGAAGACUGCCUAUGGGUUGUAAACCUCUUUUUUCAGGGAGGAAUCAAUGACGUGUACCUGAAGAAUAAGCAUCGGCUAACUCCGUGCCAGCAGCCGCGGUAAGACGGAGGAUGCAAGUGUUAUCCGGAAUCACUGGGCGUAAAGCGUCUGUAGGUGGUUUAAUAAGUCAACUGUUAAAUCUUGAGGCUCAACUUCAAAAUCGCAGUCGAAACUAUUAGACUAGAGUAUAGUAGAGGUAAAGGGAAUUUCCAGUGGAGCGGUGAAAUGCGUAGAUUUUGGAAAGAACACCGAUGGCGAAAGCACUUUACUGGGCUAUUACUAACACUCAGAGACGAAAGCUAGGGUAGCAAAAGGGAUUAGAUACCCCCUGUAGUACAAUA
rnacentral:rRNA from 1 species